rnacentral:rRNA from 1 species
UUGCACGCUGGCGGCAUGCCUUACACAUGCAAGUCGCACGGCAGCGGGCCCUUCGGGGUGCCGGCGAGUGGCGAACGGGUGAGUAAUGCAUCGGAACGUACCCGGGAGAGGGGGAUAACCGGCCGAAAGGCUGGCUAAUACCGCAUGAACUCGGAAGAGCAAAGCGGGGGACCUUCGGGCCUCGCGCUCUCGGAGCGGCCGAUGUCCGAUUAGGCUAGUUGGUGGGGUAAAGGCCCACCAAGGCGACGAUCGGUAGCGGGUCUGAGAGGACGAUCCGCCACACUGGGACUGAGACACGGCCCAGACUCCUACGGGAGGCAGCAGUGGGGAAUCUUGGACAAUGGGCGCAAGCCUGAUCCAGCAAUGCCGCGUGGGUGAAGAAGGCCUUCGGGUUGUAAAGCCCUUUCGGCGGGGAAGAAAUCGGUCAGGCGAAUAGUCUGGCUGGAUGACGGUACCCGCAGAAGAAGCACCGGCUAACUACGUG